rnacentral:tRNA from 1 species
GGAGGGGACAGCUCAGUGGUAGAGUGUGUACUUAACAUCAGAAGGUCCUGGGUUCAAUCCCCAGUACCUCCA